rnacentral:misc_RNA from 1 species
AAAAUGUAUGGUGAGAUUACAUAGCCACUUCAUCAGCUACACUUCACUGCCUGAAAUGUUGAGAGCUUCUAUAAUUAGCUUCAAAAGAUUCAAAUUUCAAGGCCUGUGGUUUGGGGUUCAUAUGCCUGGUCUUUACUGCUAAUAAUUAAGACCAAAUGUGCUUUCAUUUCUUUUUAAUAUUUAUCAAACAGUUAAAGUGCAUUUCUGUCAUCAAGGGUCUUCAUCAUAUGCUAUUGAUUUAUCUAAUGCUCUUAGAUACAAAUUCCAAUUAUAAUAGUUUCUGACUUCGGGUGUUAACUGCUCGAAGAUGCAAAAUUGGAAUCAAGGAAGGAAACUUGUUCUAUAGCUCCAUUCUAUGAGUAUGAGAGUAUCAUAUAUCCUUUAUAUUUUCAUUUUCAGACUACAUCCAUCUGUCUCAUCCCUUUUCUAAUCUAGAGCCUGCUUUUCAAUUUGUUAUAUUUUGACAAUGAUACAGUAUUAGUAUAUUGGUGCACUUUGGAAACAUCCUUAUCAAUUUUAACUUUGUUUUGCAACAUACUGCUUUCCUACUUUUCAAUGAACUAAUUUGGAUCAAUACAGUCAUUACCUUGCAAACAAUAGCUGUAUUCUAGACAUGGUUAAUCUAUAAGCGCUUGGUGGCCACUCUAUGCAUAUUAUUGAGAUGUGCCGGAGCAUCACAUUGAAUUAGCAAUGGAGGCGUAUUUUGAUAAAGUCACUUCUAA